GCGGGCUGUGGGCAGCGCGGGGAGGGCUGGCUCCGCACACGGACCGGCCCCUCUGGGGCCGGACGGGAGAAAUGUCUCUUCUUAGAGACCUUAGGUGCCUGCCUUCUUAUUGUCUUCUGAGGGUCUUGCGCCAGGUCAUCCGCGCAGUGGUGCCACUGGAGCUGCGGUGACACUGCCCGCCAGGGUUGUUUUUUUGGGGCAGCAUUUCCCUCCAUGGCUGUGCAUCCCUUUCUUGUUCUACUCAGAAGUGUUUUUCUAAAAGGAUGCAACAGUCCCUCCAGUGUCCAGACUUCUGAAGCCUGGAGCCAUUGCCUGUAAUGGAUACUUCUCUCAAACCACCAGGACUCAGGCUUCUGUUUCUGCUUUGUUCACUACUGCCCACAUGCUGUUCCUUCCCUCCAGUAGGGUGCUGACCCCUGAAAUAACAGAUUUGCUCAGGUGGUUUUUUCUCUUCUAUAUUGGAUCUCUCAGAUAAAGUUUAAUUGAGAAGACAAA